rnacentral:rRNA from 1 species
GGUGAAAAGCACCCCGGAAGGGGAGUGAAAUAGAACCUGAAACCGUGUGCUUACAAGUAGUCAGAGCCCGUUAAUGGGUGAUGGCGUGCCUUUUGUAGAAUGAACCGGCGAGUUACGAUUUGAUGCAAGGUUAAGCAGUAAAUGUGGAGCCGUAGCGAAAGCGAGUCUGAAUAGGGCGUUUAGUAUUUGGUCGUAGACCCGAAACCAGGUGAUCUACCCUUGGUCAGGUUGAAGUUCAGGUAACACUGAAUGGAGGACCGAACCGACUUACGUUGAAAAGUGAGCGGAUGAACUGAGGGUAGCGGAGAAAUUCCAAUCGAACCUGGAGAUAGCUGGUUCUCUCCGAAAUAGCUUUAGGGCUAGCCUCAAGUGAUGAUUAUUGGAGGUAGAGCACUGUUUGGACGAGGGGCCCCUCUCGGGUUACCGAAUUCAGACAAACUCCGAAUGCCAAUUAAUUUAACUUGGGAGUCAGAACAUGGGUGAUAAGGUCCGUGUUCGAAAGGGAAACAGCCCAGACCACCAGCUAAGGUCCCAAAAUAUAUGUUAAGUGGAAAAGGAUGUGGCGUUGCCCAGACAACUAGGAUGUUGGCUUAGAAGCAGCCAUCAUUUAAAGAGUGCGUAAUAGCUCACUAGUCGAGUGACACUGCGCCGAAAAUGUA